rnacentral:rRNA from 1 species
UACGGAGGAUGCAAGCGUUAUCCGGAAUGAUUGGGCGUAAAGAGCUCGUAGGUGGUUUGUCGCGUUGUUCGUGAAAACUCACAGCUCAACUGUGGGCGUGCGGGCGAUACGGGCAGACUGGAGUACUGCAGGGGAGACUGGAAUUCCUGGUGUAGCGGUGGAAUGCGCAGAUAUCAGGAGGAACACCGGUGGCGAAGGCGGGUCUCUGGGCAGUAACUGACGCUGAGGAGCGAAAGCGUGGGGAGCGAACAGG